rnacentral:rRNA from 1 species
CCUACGGGAGACAGCAGUGAGGAAUAUUGGUCAAUGGGCGGGAGCCUGAACCAGCCAAGUCGCGUGAGGGAAGACGGUCCUAUGGAUUGUAAACCUCUUUUGGCGGGGAGCAAUGCCGGGCACGUGUGCCCGGAGGGAGAGUACCCGCAGAAUAAGCAUCGGCAAACCCCGUGCCAGCAGCCGCGGUAAUACGGAGGAUGCGAGCGUUAUCCGGAUUUAUUGGGUUUAAGGGUUGCGUAGGCGGAUUUUAAAGUCAGCGGUAAAAUGUCGGGGCUCAACCCGGGCCGGCCGUUGAAACUGGGGUUCUUGAGUGGGCGAGAAGUAUGCGGAAUGCGUGGUGUAGCGGUGAAAUGCAUAGAUAUCACGCAGAACUCCGAUUGCGAAGGCAGCAUACCGGCGCCCGACUGACGCUGAGGCACGAAAGCGUGGGGAUCGAACAGGAUUAGAUACCCCAGUAGUC